rnacentral:SRP_RNA from 1 species
GCCGGGCAUGGUGGUGCACGCCUGUAAUCCCAGCUACUCAGGAGGCUGAGGCAGAAGAAUCACUUGAACCCGGGAGGUGGAGGUUGCAGUGAGCCAAGAUCGUGCCACUGCACUCCAGCCUGGGCAACAGAGUGAGAUUCUGUCUCAA